CACAACGCUACAACAGCAUCAUCAUCAUCAGCAGCAGAUCCCCACAACGCUACAACAGCAGCAGCAUCAUCAUCAUCAGCAGCAGAUCCCCACAACGCUACAACAGCAGCAGCAUCAUCAUCAUCAGCAGCAGCAUCAGCAUCAGCAGCAGCCCCCCGGCGUGGUCCCUCCUGGCCCCGAGUUCUCGGGCAGUGGCGUCGCCCCCCCCGGCGCUGCCGCGCUGCAGGCGCCGGGCGCGCGACGCAAGCUGAAGCGUAGGAGGAGGCGCCGCUCGCGACAAAAAGAUCGCGCUCUCGCCCUGUUGCCCGCGAGGGGAGCUCCCCCCGCCUUCUGGCACGCGAGGUCGCACGAGCAGCAGCGACAGGAGGAGGACAACAUGAGUUCCGGCAGCGUGAAGGAAAACUGCCUCCUGUCUGACAGCGACGACUCCCAAGAGGCGGCCACGGCUCCCGUGCAGGGUCUCUCCCCCUCUGCGUCGGGGCCCGAAGUGGGUGGUCUGCGGGGCCCGGCUGGUGGGGGCCUCAAGCGGGCGCUGGAGGAGGAGAACGCGGGACGGGCUGCUCCGCGCUUCCGCCCUAAGAGGAGGCGCCGUGCAGGGGGCCUCUCCCUGAUGGCCCUGCCCAUGCCCUUUCCUCUGCACGCCGCAUUCGUUCCGCCACCCCCCCAUAACCAACACACUCACCACCUCGCACCCACCAUCACCACCAGCAGCAGCUACGGGGCAACACCGCUGCAGCCACCACCACCACCACAUCAUCCACUCGCACCACCAACGCUGCUUCCGUCACAACCACCCCCGUCGCUGCUGCUGCUGCUGCCGCCUCCGCCGCCGCCGCCCAACAAGAACGCGCUGAUGCAGCUCAACGAGUUGCGGCCGGGCCUGCAGUACCGCGUGGUGUCGCAGACGGGGCCCGUGCACGCGCCGCGCUUCACGCUCGCCGUGGACGUGAACGGCGACACCUUCGUGGGCGCGGGCCCCACGAAGCGCGAGGCGAAGGCUCGUGCGGCCGAGCGCGCGCUGCGCUCCUUCGUGCAGUUCCCCGACGCGUGGGAGGCGCACCGCGCCAUGGGCCGAGCCGCCUCUGCGCUGCCCGCCAAUGCUGACUUUGCCCGCGAUGAGCAGGGGGAGCACGAGAUGCGAUUCGAUGUCGCGGACUUCGCGUCUGAGCCAGGGGUCGCCGUCGGCGGCGGCGGUGGUUGCGGUGUUGGUGACCUUGCGGACGUGGGUGGAAGUGGCGGUGACUGCGUUGCUGGCGGUGUUGGUGACGGCAUUAGUGGCGGUAACGAUGGCGUUGUUGGUGAUAGCGGCAGUGUUCAUGGCGGUAUUGGCAGUACGAGUGGUGGUUUUGGUGUUGAUGGUGAUUUCAAUAACGGCGGUGGUAGUGGCGGCGGUGUUGCCGAUUUCCCAGGAAGAGGAAUCGCAGCGGCCGUGGCGGUUGUGUUAUCCACCGCCACCACCUGCUCUACCAUCUCGACACAACCCAUGGGUAGCAGCAGCAGCAGCAGUAGUCAAAUACGAUCGCCCAGCACUACGGGCCGCGCGGGUCUACAUGGACACGACACGGGUUUUCAGAACCAUGGACAACUCCAGGUUGACCAGGGACAGGGGUCACCCUUGACGCGUGGCUCACGCAUGGAGCCCUCGCAGGGAAGCCCGGCCCCUCCCGAACCCUCCCCACUACGGCACCCCACUCUCACGCAGCUCACGCCGAGACCAUCAGAAUGGGCGCCUCGGACACUUGCGUGCCGGGCGCUGAAACACAACAACAACCGCGGUAGCCACAACAACUACAACAACAACAACAACAACACCACAAUCGACUCCAGCGUGCACUCUAGAACUUUAAAGGGCGAGUGCUGCUACUACAGCUGGAAUGACUACAGAUACAAUAUCAGCAGCAACAACAGCAGCAGCGGCUACAGCAACAGCACUCAAGCAGCGGUCACAAAGAGAGCUCCUCUCGCGUUGGAAGCGGAUGCGUCCGUCCCGCAUGCGGUCGCAUGGGCUCAGCGGACGCAUUCCGGUGGCGGGGCUGCUCCAAGCGAGGAUCUGCAGGCCCUGGAGAGCUACCAAGCCCCCGGGUGGCCUCCACUGGGCGCGGUGGCCCUUUUCGACGCCUUCAGCCAGGUGCGCAACAAUCCCGUGUGGGCCCUCGGCGCGCUGCAUCCCGACGCGGCCUUCGGAGACAUCGCGGGACCCCCCGGAGUGCCCGGGGCGGCUGGGCCGACGACGGCCGAGGGCGUCUCUCCUCGUGUGGUGGUGCAGGUGACCGUGGGCGGAUGCUCCUUCAGGGGAGCGGCGCGGAGCAAGAGGGUGGCUCGGAGCCGCGCGGCCCAGGCCGCCCUGAGGGCGCUCUACGGGAUAGGGGCCGCGUUUAGGCCGGCCCGGCCACCGACCGUGGGGCCUCCGCAGGGCCUGGGCGAGAACCACGCGGUGCUCUCGCAGGGACUCGCGGACCGCGUGGCGCGCCUCGUGCUCGAUAAGUUUGCGGAGCUGGCGGGAGGACGACGAGGAGGAGGAGAUGGAGGACGACGAGGAGGAGGAGAUGGAGGAGACGGAGGAGCCGCGUCGCGUGGCGGGGUGGCCGCCGCGCUCCUUGAGCGGCGCAAGGUGCUGGCCGGGAUGGUGUUGACCCGCGGCGACGGGGGUCCCGCGAGCGAGGCGCGCGUCGUCUGCCUGGCCACGGGCACCAAGUGCCUACACGGGGAGUUCAUGAGCGUGGCGGGCCUGGCGCUCAACGACUGCCACGCCGAGGUGGUGUGCCGCCGCGCCCUGCUGCGCUACCUCUACUCCCAGCUGCAGCUGCUCAGCAGCCCCGUGGCCAGCGAGCGCGAUAGCUCGGUGGUGGAGGCGCGUGCAGGCGGCGGGGGCUACCGCCUGCGGCCCGGCUGGAGGCUGCAUCUCUACGUGAGCACGGCGCCGUGCGGGGACGCCCGGCUCUUCUCCACGCAGGAGAAGGAGGUCGGCGCGGACCGGCACCCGAGGCGGCGUGCUCGGGGCCAGCUGCGCACGAAGCUGGAGUGCGGCGAGGGCACGGUGCCGGCCCGCCGCUGCCAGGAGCCACAGACGUGGGAUGGCGUCCUCCAGGGAGAACCCCUCCUCGCCAUGGCCUGCAGCGACAAGAUCGCUCGAUGGAACGUGCUGGGCGUGCAGGGCGCGCUGCUCAGCCGGCUUCUGGAGCCCAUCUACCUGCACGGCCUGGUGCUGGGCAGCCUCUACCGCCCCCAGCACCUGUGGCGAGCGGUGUGCACGCGCGUGCGUGGCGUCACGCACCUUCCCGGCCCCUACCGCCUCAACGCGCCGCGCCUCGCCUGCAGCAGCGAUCCCGAUGUGAGGCGGCCGGGCAAAGCGCCCGUGUGCUGCCUCAACUGGAGCGCGGGGGAGCCGGGUCUGGAAGCGGUGAGCGGAGCCACGGGGAAGGCGGACGGUGGGCAGCCUUCCCGGCUCUGCAAGCAAGCCCUGUUCGCUCGCUGGGCGCAGCUGCACCCCAAGCUCAGCGUCCGCGUGGCCCCUUCAGCCUGCCGUGAGCACCCGGAGGCCACCCCACCGGGCACCUACGCCGAGGCGAAGCAAGCUGCGCGCGACUACCAGGCGGCCAAGCAGCAGCUGUUCCGCGGGCUGCGCAGAGCCGGCCUGGGUGACUGGGUGAAGAAGCCCUUGGAGCAAGACCAGUUCUGCCUGCAGAUGCCCUGAGGGCGGGCGGCGCGCACGUGUUUGUUAUUCUGCUACUUUCUUUCGGUGCGAGAAAGUAGCAGCAGCAACAACAACAACAGCGGUAACAGCAACAGCAACGACAACAACAACAACACACGCAGGGGGUGUGUGUGUGUGUGUCUGAUGAGCGCUCUGUUCCAGGUUAUUGGAAAUGACACUUUGUGACCUCUUGUUCAUGUUCCCUUGCCAAGUAAGAGGGAUGUUUCGUUCUUUCGAGCUCUCUCUCUCUGCGCGCGCGGCUGUAUCACGAGGUGAUCGCGGCGCUAUAAAUAAUUCCGCUAUGAAUGCCAGGGCAGGGUUUUUUUUUAGAGAGAGACCCGUGGCAAGACUUUAAAUUGGCCCGCGACAUGUCACCUUGAUUGCACGUUUGGCUUAGACCCGACAACGUUAAUUAACGCGUGGAAGGUUUAUUUUUUAUUUUAUGUAAUUCUCAGAGCCCGGGAUUUGUUAACUAACCAUCUUGCCGCGGCUGCAGGGCCUCGGACUCGCGGUGCCGCGGUGCGGAGUCGCGACUGGCUAGCUUUUAAUGCGGCUUUAAAAAAAAAAACAAGCCCCGUUCACGCAUGAGUGGUGCAUUCCGAUUGGCCUAGCCCGAAAAAGCAGAGAGAAACGACGCGGCCCCGCAGUGGUGACGGCUGCCCCCCCCAUGUAGCCAAGACGCACGGAACACUGCCACCCCUCCCCCCCCCCCACACACACACAGUAUUCUACAUGUGCACGCGUAAUGAUGAUUCUUCUUGCUCCAAAAGCAAACGAAUUAAUUUGGUGGUAGUGCUGCUGCGUUGGCAGUGGUGCAAGAGCGCGUAUACUAUUAAUAAUACAACAAUACAUUAUCACAAUCACGCAUGCAAGGGUGGAUUCAUUACAGUUCAAGUUGCAUCCAACGUGGUUCCAUUGGGGUAACGGUCGGAAUGAAUGACAGGCUGGAUCGAACAGGGCCCGUUGAGUUGGUUGUGAUGAAGCCAAGAGACCAGGAUAGAGUCUGGCUCACCAACUCGAAAAAGUUAAAAUAAAUAAAAAAAACUAAAUCGGUACAGAAGCAACUGCAUCUAUCGCACGAGGUGGAAUAGAAAAUGUUCGAAAAAAUAUAAUUCCCUGCAACGUAAAUCUGCUGGGGAAGAUUUGCCUCCAGACGGAACACGGCACAAAGUACAACACGAAGCUACAGAGACAUUUAACAUAUAGAGGGGUGACUAGAGCACUUAUAUGCAAUUGCAAGUGAAGUGAUCAUAACGAAUCGACAAAUUAUCCUCUCAACUUGUACAUUUAGGUGGGGGGAGUAAUCUCGGACUUGUUUUGGAGCGAUGGAUGGAGGCAGUGGGGGGGGCGACACAGAGAGCACGGGGCGAAGCGACGGAACAAAGGAACGAGCGAGACAUCCGAUAGAAAUCAAAUGGUACAAACCGUUGUAAAAUAUUCGAUUCUUAAUUGACCCCCGAAUUGUGGCUAUUCCUUGAAUAGCGUAGAGGUUGAGCUCAUCACGUGCCUAAAGCCGAUGCUUUAAUUUAAAACAGCAUACAACCCUGGUGCCUAUUCAUCAUCAUUAUCAUCAUCCAGCAAUACACUGCUGGAUGAAGGCUUCCUCACGCCUUUGGAGCUGCCGUGACGUAUUGGCCCUCUAUCGGCAGGUUGCAUGCCUGGUGGAGUAAAGCGUGGGUUCUCCCACCUCGUACCACGACGCUUGGUCAACGUGAUAGUCGACAAUAUAUUAUCUAGAGCUCCCUCUAGCGGAGGCCAUUCCACCAGCAGUGGCGCGGGCAGGCAAUUGCAGGGUUGCGCCUUAAGCUGUAGCUGCGGCAAAUCGUAAGUUAGCCAUCGUAAUCCGCCCAAGGUUACCAAGUCGAGUGCCCGAUUCUUAAUACGGGUUCUAUUUUAAGGUGGGUCACAGAGAGAGAGAGAGAGAUGUGCUGAGUAAUAUCGGUGUGACGUCUAAAACAUGUCGAACAAAUUUAGAAUCCAUCUCGCGAACAAUUCCCCGCCGUCAUUCAUUCGCCACUUGCGCAGUAACGAGUAGGGCGUGUGCAGAGGAAGAAGACCCAGGCAAUUGCUAACAUAUGCCUAACACCGGGCAGAUUUUUUUUUAAUUAAACAAACUUCAUGUAAUGUUUCAAACCAGGUGGCUAAUUGGAUACAAUUUGCGCACCGUAAUCUCUGCGCUACGACGUGAUUUGCCUUGAGGUAAUGUGUUAAUAAUGAGCUUCAAUUGACAACUGAACGCCCAGUCUCAGCCCCCCCCCCCCGUCUCAUCGUUUGUCAGCUCCUCAUUUAGUAAAGAGGCCGCGUGCCGUGCCUCCACCCUCACGUCGCUCCAGGCUUCCCAACUGCCACGGCACUUCGGUGCCAAGGGUGACGAACUCAAAGCACAUGGCACAGUUCGCCAUCGCGUCCCCAGCUAUUGAACAACACAAUAACAAACAAAAAACAUCAACCGCAAGUCCGCGCGGAUACAAAUUCGCAAAUAUUCUCCCGAAAAUAAACUCGCCGCUCGGCGGAUUAAGGCAAAUCCACGACACUUUUUUCGUCCUUGCUUUGUGAACGGACCUCCAUUGGCAUCACGGCUGUCGCUGCGUCUCGAUAGUCGGUUUGUGCCCCCUCGAUUAGUCCGAGACGGACGAAUAGUACCUUUCUUCAUUACUGACAACUUGCAGCUCAGCACACGGCAGAUGCCUGCGCAGCGUGACUCACGACCUUCUCUUGAUACCAAGAUCCAGGAUGGUCACGUCUAUGCGCCGCUUCUCGGUGGCAGCCCCAACAGUCUGGAACGAUAUCCCUCUGCACAUUCGCAGCAUCACCUCAAUCGCCUCCUUCAAGAGACACUUAAAAACUCACCUCUACAAUCAUGCUUUCGAGCGACUCUGAGCUUGGCUCCGCGUCUCUGAGUUGCGGCCACUACAGUCUGCAAAUUUGCGCGCGUUACAAAUUGAACUAUUAUUAUUAUUAUUAGUACUCAACCGUUCAACGCAACUUCUGAGAUACCAGACAACCCACGCCAGGAGCUCCUUACUCGUUGAGUCAUCGCGGCGGCUUGAGGCUCCGCUGAGAUGACGCUGCACGCACCCGCCGCGUGAAUUGCGCCUCAGUGCCGCAGCGAGCCGGUGCCAGCCCAUCGCACACGUGGCCCGUGUAGUCAUCUGCUGGCCCAUAGACAGGUGGUAGGCAGGUGGUAGGCAGGGCUGCCACUUCUAAGGGUAUACAAUGAAAACCCAGCGGCAGUGACACACUCAUUCUUGGUUGCUGGGUUAGAUCACGUGGGCACAAUGCUAAUGUGUGUCGUACUCCCUCCUUCAUACAACACAGCCGAAAAAAAUGUACUCAACUUUUUUAAAGUAAAUAUUUGUAGUUUACCAGGUAAGGCCCACUGAGCUAUAUAACAAUUUUCUAGAAGCGACCUCGCCACAAAUGAUUGCUCAACGAAGUGGCUUAUCGUCGUGUGGAAAUAUAUAGCGGCCAAGCACGCUAAACAAAUAUUAUUAUUUCUAAAUGUGGAAGGAAAAACCUGAGGGCCCGGAGAAAAAUCCAUGAGAUUACUGGGAGAACAUGCAAACUCCAAAAAUACAGGCGUCACAGUCGGGAUCGAACCCACACCUCCUGUAUACCAGGCGAGGUAGUUAACAUCUCACCAUCUUGGCGCCGAUUUACUGUUUGCGACGGCACACCACCGGUAUAAUGAUAAUAAAUCCACACACGUGGCCCCGCUGUUUCGACUUAACGGGCGCCAUGGAAAAUACUGUGGAUGUAAUAAUCAUUAAAUAUGUUCCACCGUCCGCUCCUAGUGGAUAUUCAACGUUUCCGUUUGGAUUGUUCGAAAAGUGUAGAGGUCGUGCGUUGUUGGCGUCAUGAUACAAAUUGGCCAAGUUUAAAACAAUGACUUCAUUGGGAAACAAAUAGCAAUCGUCGCCCGCUACUGGGACAACCUGACCAGGACCCUUAUGACAACAAACGCUCCUGGACAAACAAAUCAUGAAAAGAAGAGGAAUAUCUCACAAUACAAAAAAACGGGAGAAUUGAAUGUUCAUGCAUGAUCUCGAGUGGUGCCCUAUGGCGCCUGAUGAUGGAACGGACAACAACCUGGACUUUUAACGUGCUGGGAAGCCUCGCUGAUUGCCCAGAACAGCGAGCUCAACAAGACGACGACCCUGGGAAAACCGGGACAGGUGGCAACCCUAUAUAUGAGAAAUACAUAAAUAAAAUACAUCGUAAGCAUGCCCAUCCAGAGCUGUCGAUCCCAGAUCUGGCCUCACCCCGUGUGUGAAGUACCGACCUGACCAACGCGUGUCUCUGUCUGUGAGCACGCGAACUUCUUCAGCACCGAUUGACUGGAUCGGUUGAUGUCAUGCGAAUGGACUAGAGGGCCAGGUGCAUGACCUCAGCUGUCCACCUCACGAUGGCUGGGGGCACUUCAUGCAGAACGCUGCGUGCAGCCGUGAGCGCUGCUACUGCUUACGUGUUGGCAGGCACAUUCAGUUUCAUUUAUUAGAAAUAGCCCUGUGAGCCAUGCGGCUCUUGCCUCGGGUGCAACCGCAACAACCAAAAACAUGAACAAAGAACAUCAGAGACCCCCCGUGGUCAGGUUUGACAGCGACUGCCGGAGCAAUUUCUGCCGGUUUAGCGCCGACAAUCGUCGAGACGGCGCUGCAUUCGAUCCGCGUUGUAUACAUUUGGAUUGCAUUGUACAGCCUCGGAGCCCGAGUACGCAGACUGUAGUAGUAAUAGUAGCAGUGCCGUGCUUAGCGCUAAAUAGAGCCACGCGUGGCAUCCGGGCAACGGUAAAUUCGUCCCACUUGCGGCUGACCUCACGUUGAGGUCACACGUUGGCGAGUUUCACUGGGGGUCCGUGUCUCUGCGAGCAAUUCGAGGUCACCGCUCGGGGUCAGCCGGGCCCUUUGUUGUGAAAGUGAUUCGUGACCUCUUGCUCCCGUGCCCCCCCCCACCCCCCGCCACAUGCCUCGUGAGCUAGUGGAGGGUCUUGCGAUGAGCGUUAUGUUCACAAAAGGCGAUUUUUGGCGCUACAGUUGAAGCAACAACAAUAACAACAAACCCAAUUCCUUUGUAUACAUGUAUAAAAAAAUAUAUCACCGCGCGUGCGAUCACAGCUUGCGAGUGGAUUUCAAUGGCUUUCUCGCCAGGCGUUAAAAGGAGGGAAUUACAUUUGAGGCGACCUCAACUUUCUUGCAAACUGUGUGCAGAUCGAGUGCACGGACGCACGCAUGCAUUUGGUAAAACGUCUGGUUGCCUUGCGAUGUUAGACGUCGUUUAGGGAAUUCGUCAUUGGCAAACGUGGUGUUUGCUACAAACAAAUGUGGCGAUUGGUGUGGAUCGUCUGAGUUGGGAAUUGUGUGUCUUAGCCAAUGAAAACGGCAUCUGUUGAAGACCGUGUGUUGAUGGGAAGUCACGUGACCUCUUACGGUGAUUUAAUCGAAAGUGGCCAUCCCAGUUUCCCACUCGGGCAGGAGUCGGCAAACAAGAACAAGAAGAGACAUUUUUUUCGAAUUCGGAAAAAAAAAAGACUCAAUAUUUCAAAAGCCGCAAUGCACUCUGUGGUUAAUAUGAGAUCGUGAGUCAUUCAUAAAUAACGCCACGAAGCAGUCCUUAAAGAGCCGCAUGCCACUCCGGGGCCGCCGACUCCUGCACUAGGUUGAAGGGGCAGUGAAAUGUACCCCGCUGCGUGCCACGAGUUAGUUUUUUUUUGUUAUUUUUGUUUUUGCAAUACAGAAAUUGUCGUGCCCUUCACUCUGCGGGUAAACAAGAAGCGGGCCGUGGAAGGUGUGGUGAGGAGGGGGGGGGGAGGGAGGUUCCGCGCGAUGAGCGCAGAGCCCCCGACGAUUCCCCGCCAGGCAGCCGCUCAGAUAAAUAUCGAUCGCCGCGUGCCGCGCGCCGAAUUCUGCUGCUUUUAAACAAUGCGGCGAGGCACCGAGUGUGUCGUGUGCGUGAAUGAUGUCCGCUCGAGGGUUUAGAGCUUUAGACCCUUUACAAAAGCCUUCACGCCGCGUUUCUGAGGCUCCUGUUCGCUGCCAAAACGCCCAGUGCGGUGGGGUUUCUCCAUCCCCCAAGCUACGCGCGCUCAACUUGAGCUGGCAAUGAAGCGGAUUCUUAACCCCCUCUGCGCCCCCCUCCCCUUUCCCCCCUCCCCCCACCCCCCUCCCCUCUCCCCCCGCCGCCCGCUACUUUCAGCGUCUGCCAAAUUUGUCUUCUCUCCUGCGUCUGGACAGGACGGUGGCUUUGAGUGCGCGGCGCGUAACGAUGCAUCGAUUCGUGGAGUCAAGUGAUUGUUUUGUUUGUGCUCACGAUGCGGGCAUGGAAUGACGCGAGUGUGAGAAUCGAUGAUUGACGACAUGCAGGCCACAGGAGGCGAACGCAGCUCUAAAAACGGAGACAAAAUGAGACAUUCUACAGACUACGGAUACAAUAAUGACCGUAUCCCUGAAUGGAACUGCAUCACGUGACAAUUCGUCUCAAGUUGGUGUGUUGUGGGGUGGGUGGAUUGUCACAUGGCUGGCAACGAGUUCAGUCUGGAGAGGCUGUGUGUGUCACGCAUAUCACACGGCAUGAACUUCACACACUGCACUUGCGAUAGUGUGUUAUAUAUCAACAAAGUGUUUGAGUUGGAGUUAUCUGCUAUAAUAAAUCAGCAACCGCCCAAAGCGCCUGCCAUAGUCGUUCCUGUACAGUUGACCGCAUUACGAAGUCAACAAAUAUUUACACGGCCACCUUGACGAUUGCGCAUCGCUGUUUCCAGAAGGGACGCUAAGAAGUCAAAGUGAUUCUCCUGCGCGAGUGUGCAUUGCGGCGGUGAUCAUUACGCGUGGCGACCACUGAGCCAGUGGUGAAAAUGUCACAUUCCUGUGACGGAGAUGAGUCUCCCCAUAGGUUCAACCACUGCAGACCUCCUCACGAAGUGCUGAUCGGAGGGAUGAUGGACUGAGUCGAUGAUCCCCCAGCCUGCAUUUAAACUCGCAAACCUCCCGAUUGCGAGCCCCCCCCCCCCCCUCUGGCGCGACGUCACGUGACCGGUUUGAGUCGGUGAUAUGGUCAAUGACUGUGACGCAUCUGCGAUAUCAUUGUGCGUGCGCUGGACAUUGCGCCUAAUGUCUAUUAAAUGCACCCACAGCAGUGUGGAUGGUCGUGUGGAAGCAGCUUAAGAUAAAAGGGUAAAAAACCAAUUAUCAUAUUAUUUACUGCGAAAUGAGGUUCCAAUGGUGCAAAAAAUACACCUCAAUGUCCACCUCGUUAAUGUGCUCAUUGGCACGGCUAAGUAAAUCCAGCCUGUCCCCAAACGGGUGUCGAACCACCGCGGCGCGCCGCUAGCCGAGUUGCAACGGAGUUGAGUAGCAGACAGAAGCGGCAAUAUGCAGGUGUGCACAUUUCUCGUGUCAGGAUGCAAAAGAGUCCAAAACCACCGCGUGCGUGCCCCGAGAGGUCGACCGCAGGGCUCACGGGCGCGGUGAGUGGACGGGCGAGGAGAUCGCCGGCAAACUGGGAAGAGACCAGAGGCGGGUUGUGGAUGCCUCAGUCUCGAGAGAGUGGGGCGGGUAGGCAGGCGGGUAGGGGGUGGGAGAUACGCCUUGCCCUCUGGGUCUGAUGGGAUCGGCGGUCCCGAUGCUCGGCUCGCAGCAGCCAUUCGUCGGCUCCGUUUAUUUUGUCACGCGGCGGCGGCGGCGGCGGCGGCGGUGGAGGUGGAGGGGGCGGGCAAAGCGGAACGCGUUGCGCGUGGGGAUCGCUGUGUGUGGUUAAGGCGACGCAUUAAACGCUGCUGCUGCUGCUGCUGUGGAUGCUGGUGGGGGGGCGUGCGCACGGAUGUUGAUCGCGUGGUUUGCAAUGCCUCCUGGACAACAACUACCCCCAGCCUUUCGGUGGUGAUAUUCCGUAUAUAUAUAAAUGUAUUAACUUGCCUGUCGACCUUUUUUCUGUCUUUCCCUCUUGCCGCGUGUCGGUAUGUGCAGCCGUGUAUGUCCGUCCGUUGAAUAAAGUGUGCGUGAAAACUGGGCGCUUGCUCGUCUACCACCCCCCACCCCCCACCCACCUCCUCUGAGUCUGUAUCGCUGUUUCACGUCUGCCUCCGCCAGCCGCCUCGCCAGGCGGUUCUCCAAGUGUCCUGGUUACUUCAAUGGAAUCCGUCAAAUGGACGAGAAAAAAAUUAACCCGUAAAAAAACAAAGUUUUUCACUAUAAAUCCUUUAUAUGCGUGGCGACUAGAGUCCUCUCGUCCUCUGGCUUGAGAUGGCUGCCACCUAUGGGUCAGAUGAUUGUCUGCCAGCAUUAAGCAAUUGGUAAUUAAAUAUUUUUUUAAAAUUCCCGAAACAGUGUAAAAUUUUGGAAAAAAAAUUUCACGAAAAUUAAUUGUCACGCACAACGAGUCUGUGUGGAAAAUGUCAGCUCGAUUGGAUCACGGGAAGUGGGUUAAAAAACGACCGAAAGAUUUGCACGGUUCUAAGCAAGCAAGCAAGCACGCAAGCACGCAAGCAAGCAAGCGAACUUAAUAUAAAGGAUUUAAAAAAUGCCCGUCGUCAUCGUGAGAGCUACUAAGCAGAACAGCCGUAGGGUUCGUUUCAACGCUCAGACAAUUUGCGUGCGAAGCACAACGCCACGUGCGCCUUGUGCAGCAUCCACGUGACGCGCUUCGCGGUCAGCCCCGUCGUAGGCCGCCGACAAACAGAGAUUGGGACGACUGCCGCGAUGUUUUUUUCCUGUCGCCAGUCACUCGCAUUCGAUCAAAUGUAUUGCGAUCGUGACCUCGGAUAAAGAGCUACUCACGAUGGCUCAUUUUAGCGUAACGCGCAAUGUCUGCGUGACGUUGACACGUCACCACGUUGGCGCGUGUCCGAGUCCUGCCCCAUUUCGAUAUUGGCGAAUUUGUUAAUUUGCCUACAUAGCGAGACACGAUUUUGCCGGCACGUGGUAGCUCGGUGGAAGUGAACGGCGGCGCGGGAUGUGCGUCGAAACCUGCAGCACCGACCCUGGGGAAAGUAGAGGCAGUGAUCGAGUCAAAGGGCACAGCGGCGUCCUGCACAGACAGGUGGUGUGUGGCAGGUGAUGUGAGACGGGCGUUAGAAAUUCCACGUUAACAUGGUGGGGGGGGGGCAGCCUCUCUGUAGCACGACCACUUUUUUGACGGGGCGAUGUUUAUACACCGCACUCGGUGCUCAUUUAAGGCUGAGUCGACCUAGGGGAGACCCACGACCGGUUUAGAUCAUCUUCGUUGGUGUUGGUGGCCGUGAGUGGGAAUCGAUCGCGAGUCGCCGGGUUCGUAGCCCAGCGCGCUCACCGCUAUGCAAACGUCUCCGCACUAAGACAAAGACUAGCCCCCCCCGCCCCCCCAUAGACUUAACAGACCCGUUGAGUCUGUCAAGGCGAUGUUAGCGAGCAGCACUUAUGAAAGACCGGCACGGCACACGAGGGGUGGGUUGGCCAGCACGGGACACGACACACACGCUCGCCGUCCGAGCUCCUCCAUGUGGUGCGUAAAAGCGACACGUGUCUGAAACGAUGGCUGCGUUGGGGCGCAUUGAUUGGGAUAAGGAGAUGGGCGAGUUUGCAGGACGGGCGAGACGCAGCUUGCGAAUGGGGGGAGGCGGCAGAGUUAAAGGCGGUCUCGCCAUCGUCCCCCGUCUACCGCCGAGACCGGGAGAGGCGCUUUCCCGUUCGUCAUUCCGGGCACGCGGAGCCCAUUCGCAAACGCCACGAAGUCACUGCCCUCCCCUGGAUGGCGCGCGACCGCAAGUUGCGGUGGUCAAAAUGAAUAAGCGAGGGAAACUACUAUUCACCACUACUCACCACUACACUCACCACUACACUCACCACUACACUCACCACUACACUCACCUCUACACUCACCACUACACUCACCUCUACACUCACCACUACACUCACCACUACACUCACCUCUACACUCACCACUACACUCAUCGUUACACUCACUGCUACACUCACCACUACACUCACCACUACCACUACACCCACCACUACACUCACCACUACACUCACCACUACACUCACCACUACACUCACCACUACACUCACCACUACACUCACCACUACACUCACCACUACACUCACCACUACACUCACCACUACACUCACCACUACACUCACCACUACCACUCACCACUACUCACCACUACACUCACUACUACUCACCACUACACUCACCACUACUCACCACUACACUCACCACUAAACUCACUACACUCACUACUACACUCACCACUACUCACCACUACACUCACCACUACUCACCACUACACUCACCACUACACUCACCACUACACUCACCACUACACUCACCACUACUCACCACUACUCACCACUACACUCACCACUACACUUACCACUACUCACCAUUACACUCACAACUACACUCACAACUAAUCACCACUACACUCACCACUACUCACUACUACUUACCAAUACACUCACCACUACUCACCACUACUCACCACUAUACUCACCGUUACACUCAUCGUUACACUCACCACUACACUCACCACUACACUCACGUUACAGUCAUCGUUACACUCACCACCACUCACCACUACACUCACCACUACAGUCACCGUUACACUCAUCGUUACACUCACCGCUACACUCACCACUACACUCACCGUUACCACUACAUCCACCACUACACUCACCACUACCACUCACCACUACACUCACCGCUGCACCCAUCACUGCACACAUGCCUCAUUGAUUUACUCAUGACCCGUAUUCUUUCAGUUACUCAUUCCUCCCGUUCAUUCAUUCAACCUUUCUCUCUUAUUAUUGUCGCAUUUACUCACUCAUUUCCUCACGUGCACACGCUGUAUUCUGGCGAAUAGCGAAACAUUUCAUUUUACAAUGCACAUAAGCGCUUCAAGGUCCAGUUGUAGAAUUUCUCAGUACAUAUGAACAGAAUUGUAUACUUUUUGUUUAGUUCUGAGGCAUUUCUCUCAUUCAAUCAUUCAUGCCUCUAAUUUGUUCUCAUUCUUACCUCAAUCCUCUCUUUCUUCAUAUUUGAUUUUUUACCUCUUUCAAUCAAAGAUUUCGCCCAGCACCUCCCAUGAGCCUCCUCUAAACUUCCUGCAGGCCCAU